GAUGAACGCUAGCGGCAGGCCUAAUACAUGCAAGUCGGACGGGAUUCAGGAGCUUGCUUCUGAUGAGAGUGGCGCACGGGUGCGUAGCACGUAUGUAACCUACCUUUAUCAGGGGGAUAGCCUCUCGAAAGAGAGAUUAAGCCCGCAUAAAAUCACAGCACAGCAUUGUGUAAUGAUCAAAUAUUUAUAGGAUAAAGAUGGGCAUGCGGAACAUUAGCUAGAUGGCGGGGUAACGGCCCACCAUGGCGACGAUGUUUAGGGGAUCUGAGAGGAUGGCCCCCCACACUGGUACGGAGACACGGACCAGACUCCUACGGGAGGCAGCAGUAAGGAAUAUUGGUCAAUGGGCGGAAGCCUGAACCAGCCAUGCCGCGUGCAGGAAGACGGCCCUACGGGUUGUAAACUGCUUUUAUACGGGAAUAAACCCAGAUACGUGUAUCUGGCUGAAUGUACUGUAAGAAUAAGGAUCGGCUAACUCCGUG
rnacentral:rRNA from 1 species